UACGAAGGGGGCUAGCGUUGUUCGGAAUUACUGGGCGUAAAGCGUGCGCAGGCGGUUUUGUAAGCCAGGUGUGAAAUCCCCGGGCUCAACCUGGGAAUGGCAUUUGGGACUGCAAGGCUGGAGUGUGGCAGAGGAGACUGGAAUUCCUGGUGUAGCAGUGAAAUGCGUAGAUAUCAGGAGGAAUACCGAUGGCGAAGGCAGGUCUCUGGGCUGACACUGACGCUCAUGCACGAAAGCGUGGGGAGCAAACAGG
rnacentral:rRNA from 1 species